AUGCCGAGCGGGGGUAGGCGGCUGCCGCCGUGGACGUCGCCGAGGGGCGCGGCGGAGGCGGUACCGCAGAGGUGUAGCCCCUGCACCCCCGCCGGUUCCGGGAACCACUUCACUCCGCCCUUGAGCGCCGGCUGCUGCUCCUACCGCGUCACCCCGCCGGUGAGCGGCGGCGGGUGUCCCCGGCCGCCGAGGGCGCCGCCGGCGGUCGAUUCCCCGUACUUGAGGGCGAAGCAGGCGCAGUUAAUUGAAAAGGAUCCAAACAAGGCAGUUCCAUUGUUCUGGGCAGCUAUUAACAGUGGUGAACGAAUUGAGAGUGCACUGAAGGAUAUGGCUACUGUACUAAAACAAGCAAAUCGGGCUGAAGAAGCCGUCGAAGCGAUAAGAUCCUUCCGUCACCGUUGUCCAAAUGAAGCUCAAGAGUCUCUUGACAAUAUUCUUCUUGACCUAUACAAGAAAUGCGGUAGGACAAAAGAACAGAUUGAAAUGCUGACAUUGAAGCUGAGAAUGGUUGACGAGGAUCUAGCUUCUGGCCGGUGGAAAGCAAAGCUGUCUAAAUCUCAUGGAAGAGUAGUCUAUCUCUCUCUGAGGGAUGAAAAGGCAAGGUUGUUGGGUAACCUCGCCUGGGCCUAUAUGCAGUCUGAAAACUAUGAGGAGGCUGAAAUGCUCUACAGGCAAGCUCUUGCUAUGGAAGCUGAUUAUAACAAAGAGUGUAAUUUAGCCAUCUGCUUGAUGAAGAUGGGAAAGGUAGCUGAAGCUAAAUACCUUCUCCAACCUAUACCUUACAACUGCAAAGAUGAAAACCAUUUGAGAUCUUUUGCACGGGCUACUGAAAUGCUUAGGGAACUUGAGUCACAAACACUCCCUUCUCCCAUAACUCAGAUGAAGUCUAAAGAUUCACAGAUUUUACUUGCUGCUGAUGUGGAGAGUCUUGAAUAUCUACAUCCACAAAUAUUCUCUAGUUCUUCAACUCAACUGAAUUAUGAAGAACUGCAAGCUUCAGUUUCGGUGGAUACAGAGAAGCGUGAGGAUUGCAACUCACAAGUGCUUCCAUCUCCGGUAACUCAGUUGAAGCGUGAAGGACCACAAAUUAUGGUUGCUACUGAUGGAGAGAAGAAUGGACAAAGUCUGCAGGAGUACCAAUAUCUUUCAAGACUGUUCAAUGAUGCUGCCACACCACAGUCUCAACUUGAGAAACUACGAAAGCGGCUGGUAAGAAAGGACAGACCAAAUUUCAGCACACAGAAUCAAGUUCAAACUCCUAGCUCAGCUGAAUGCCUGCCAAACCCUAAUGGUGCCAUGGAUGCUAGUGAGAACCCUGUGCAAGAGGGGAAGGGUUUGGUUGAUGGUGGUAGAAAAGCAUGGGCUGACAUGGUGGAGGAGGAUGAACAGCAGCUGGGCGAUGGCAAGAACACUAGCGCGCAAGGUGAGAGCAGCAAGGAUGCAAGUGAGCAGAGGGAGAAAACAUCAUCACCUUCUCAAGGAAGCAGCAGCCUCAAAACCCCGGUCGCGGGUGUUCCGCGACAAAGUUCAUCUGCAGGUUCAUGGAGACGUAACGACUCCAGAAUGUCGACAGAUGAGAACGUGAACCGGAAGUUUGCUAGGACAGCUCCAGCGUGGAAGCAGCAGAAGGUUCAAGAUCACAGCAAUCGAGUCUGCCAAAUGCUCAAUACGAUGCAUCUCAAUGAGAAAGCUCAAGGCACCAAGCAAACACCAUGGAGAAGCAGUGCAGCUCAGCGUUCACUUUUCCACAGUCAUGCACCAUUCGGUGACAAUGGACACUCUCAGGGUACCAAUCACACGGAGGCCACUAACCGGUGGCCGAAGAACGUGGCGAGCACAAGACCGUGGAGGCCACAGAACCGCUUGCGGGUCUUCCAGGAAAUCACAAAUGAGAUGAAGCAAAAUGUUGCAUAG
rnacentral:rRNA from 1 species